rnacentral:rRNA from 1 species
GACGAACGCUGGCGGCGUGCUUAACACAUGCAAGUCGAACGGAAAGGCCCUGCUUGCAGGGUGCUCGAGUGGCGAACGGGUGAGUAACACGUGGGUGAUCUGCCCCUUACUUUGGGAUAAGCCUGGGAAACUGGGUCUAAUACUGGAUAGGACCAUGCUGUAGGUGGUGUGGUGGAAAGAUUAGUUUCGGUAAGGGAUGAGCUCGCGGCCUAUCAGCUUGUUGGUGGGGUAAUGGCCUACCAAGGCGUCGACGGGUAGCCGGCCUGAGAGGGUGGACGGCCACAUUGGGACUGAGAUACGGCCCAGACUCCGACGGGAGGCAGCAGUGGGGAAUAUUGCACAAUGGGCGCAAGCCUGAUGCAGCGACGCCGCGUGGGGGAUGACGGCCUUCGGGUUGUAAACUCCUUUCAGCCAUGACGAAGCCCUUGUGGUGACGGUAGUGGUAGAAGAAGCACCGGCUAACUACGUG